GUCUUACUCCCCAAUCCAACAAAAAAUGUCUCAGAUUUAUCAAAAUUUAGAUGUAUCUAGACAUGACUUAGUAUAUAGACGCAUUCAAAUUUAGUCAAAGUUAAGACAUCCUUUGUUGGACGCAGGGAGUAUAUU
rfam:Brachypodium distachyon strain Bd21 chromosome 1, whole genome shotgun sequence.